rnacentral:rRNA from 1 species
GAUGAACGCUGGCGGCGUGCCUAAUACAUGCAAGUCGAGCGAACAGACGAGGAGCUUGCUCCUCUGACGUUAGCGGCGGACGGGUGAGUAACACGUGGAUAACCUACCUAUAAGACUGGGAUAACUUCGGGAAACCGGAGCUAAUACCGGAUAAUAUAUUGAACCGCAUGGUUCAAUAAUGAAAGACGGUUUUGCUGUCACUUAUAGAUGGAUCCGCGCCGCAUUAGCUAGUUGGUAAGUUAACGGCUUACCAAGGCGACGAUGCGUAGCCGACCUGAGAGGGUGAUCGGCCACACGGGAACUGAGACACGGUCCAGACUCCUACGGGAGGCAGCAGUAGGGAAUCUUCCGCAAUGGGCGAAAGCCUGACGGAGCAACGCCGAGUGAGUGAUGAAGGUCUUCGGAUCGUAAAACUCUGUUAUUAGGGAAGAACAAAUGUGUAAGUAACUAUGCACGUCUUGACGGUACCUAAUCAGAAAGCCACGGCUAACUACGUG